rnacentral:rRNA from 1 species
GAGUUUGAUCCUGGCUCAGGAUGAACGCUGACAGAAUGCUUAACACAUGCAAGUCGAUGGGGAAGUGGUGCUUGCACCAUGGUAACCAUGGCGGACGGGUGAGUAACGCGUAAGGGACUUACCUGCGGGACUGGGAUAACAGCAGGAAACUGCUGAUAAGACCGGAUAAGGUCAUGGAGCUGCAUGGUUUCAUGAUGAAAGGAGACGCCUGCGGAGAGCCUUGCGUCCUAUUAGCUAGUUGGAGGGGUAACGGCCCACCAAGGCGAAGAUAGGUAGCCGGCCUGAGAGGGUGGACGGCCACAAGGGGACUGAGAUACGGCCCUUACUCCUACGGGAGGCAGCAGUGGGGAAUAUUGGACAAUGGGGGCAACCCUGAUCCAGCAAUUCUGUGUGCACGAAGACGGUUUUCGGAUUGUAAAGUGCUUUCAGCAGGGAAGAAGUAAGUGACGGUACCUGCAGAAGAAGCGACGGCUAAAUACGUGCCAGCAGCCGCGGUAAUACGUAUGUCGCGAGCGUUAUCCGGAAUUAUUGGGCAUAAAGGGCAUCUAGGCGGCCUAACAAGUCAGGGGUGAAAACCUGCGGCUCAACCGCAGGCCUGCCUUUGAAACUGACAGGCUGGAGUACCGGAGAGGUGGACGGAACUGCACGAGUAGAGGUGAAAUUCGUAGAUAUGUGCAGGAAUGCCGAUGAUGAAGAUAGUUCACUGGACGGUAACUGACGCUGAAGUGCGAAAGCCGGGGGAGCGAACAGGAUUAGAUACCCUGGUAGUCCCGGCCGUAAACGAUGAUUACUGGGUGUGGGCAGGAAGACUGUCUGUGCCGAAGCGAAUGCGAUAAGUAAUCCGCCUGGGGAGUACGGCCGCAAGGCUGAAACUCAAAGGAAUUGACGGGGACCCGCACAAGCGGUGGAGCAUGU